rnacentral:lncRNA from 1 species
AGAUACACUACUAGUACCUAAACUAGAUGUUCUAAGAAACAGUAUGUUCACUGCUGGAAAAGGAGUUGCAGAGAAAGCAAGCAAAUGGUAUUCAAGAUUCACCAUGUACACCACAUCAUCUAAGGAGGAGAUCAAAAUGGCAACAUUAACUGGAGUUUGGAAGAAAUAGAUUCCAGUUCUCAAGGAUGAUUUUGAGGGGUUCAGGACUUCAGUGGAGGAAUUAUGCAGAUAUGGUGAAAAUAGCAAAAACCCCUAGAAUUAGAAGUGGAGCCUUGAGGAUGUGACUUAAUUGCUGCAAUCAAAUAAUAAAACUUGAAGGGAUGAGGAGUUGCUUCUAAUGGAUGAGCAAAGAAAGUUGUCAGACAGCAUCACAUGCUACAGAGAAAUCUUUCUUGAAAGGAAGAGUCAAUGGAGCAAACUUCAUUAUUAUCCUCUUUUUUACCACAGCCACUCAACCUUCAGCAGCCACCACUCUGUUCAGUCACCAGCCAUCAAUAUCCAGGCAAAACCCUCAACCAGCAAAAAGAUUACCACUUGCUGAAGGUUCACAUAAUUGUUAGCAAUUUUUAGUAAUAAGGUAUUUUAAAAUUUAUGUGCAUUUUUUAG